GGCCGAUGAAGAUGUUGCAAGAUUGCUCUUUGAAGCUUGAAUUUUCUCUUCUUUGGUGCUUGGGAGGAUGUUGUUGAUGAUGAAAAAGAUCACUUAUGCAAGUCCACUAAAUUCUAUGCACAACUUUCCUCUCUUUUCCUCUUCUAAAGAAUAUUCAAUGAAGCUCUCACUAAUUUACAUGAUUCACUCUUUUAAUUCCUUUAAUCUUAGCUCUUCAUUGAGUUUAUAAACCUUUCAAUUUUUUUUAGAAGCCAAACUAGCCAUUUCUAGCCAUUGAAAAAUAAAAACUAAUCGUUGGAACUCAUUUGGAACAAAUCUAAAUUUCUACAGAACUAAUUGUUGGGA
rnacentral:lncRNA from 1 species